UACGUAGGGUGCAAGCGUUAAUCGGAAUUACUGGGCGUAAAGCGUGCGCAGGCGGUUUUGUAAGUCAGAUGUGAAAUCCCCGGGCUUAACCUGGGAAUGGCAUUUGGGACUGCAAGGCUUGAGUUUGGCAGAGGAGACUGGAAUUCCCAGUGUAGCGGUGAAAUGCGUAGAUAUUGGGAGGAACACCAGUGGCGAAGGCGGCUCACUGGACCGGAACUGACGCUGAGGCGCGAAAGCGUGGGGAGCAAACAGG
rnacentral:rRNA from 1 species